rnacentral:rRNA from 1 species
AUUGAACGCUGGCGGCAGGCCUAACACCUGCAAGUCGAACGAGUGGCGGACGGGUGAGUAAUGUCUGGGAAACUGCCCGAUGGAGGGGGAUAACUACUGGAAACGGUAGCUAAUACCGCAUACCAUCGGAUGUGCCCAGAUGGGAUUAGCUAGUAGGUGGGGUAACGGCUCACCUAGGCGACGAUCCCUAGCUGGUCUGAGAGGAUGACCAGCCACAUUGGACCUGAGAUACUGUCCAGACGCCUACGGGAGGCAGCGGGGGGGAAUAUUGCACAAUGGGCGCAAGCCUGAUGCAGCCAUGCCGCGUGUAGGAAUAAGGCCUUCGGGUUGUAAAGUACUUUCAGCGAGGAGGCGUUACUCGCAGAAGAAGCACCGGCUAACUCCGUGCCAGCAGCCGCGGUAAUAC